CCUACGGGUGGCAGCAGUGGGGAAUAUUGCGCAAUGGGCGAAAGCCUGACGCAGCGACGCCGCGUGAGGGAUGAAGGUCUUCGGAUCGUAAACCUCUGUCAGCAGGGAAGAAUGGUCACUGUGCUAAUCAGCAGUGAAUUGACGGUACCUGCAAAGGAAGCACCGGCUAACUCCGUGCCAGCAGCCGCGGUAAUACGGAGGGUGCGAGCGUUAAUCGGAAUUACUGGGCGUAAAGCGCGCGUAGGCGGUAUGUCAAGUCAAGGGGGAAAUCCCCGCGCUCAACGUGGGAACUGCCUUUGAAACUGGCAAACUGGAGUGUGUGAGAGGAUAGUGGAAUUCCAGGUGUAGGAGUGAAAUCCGUAGAUAUCUGGAGGAACAUCAGUGGCGAAGGCGACUAUCUGGCACAUAACUGACGCUGAGGAGCGAAAGCGUGGGUAGCAAACAGGAUUAGAUACCCCAGUAGUC
rnacentral:rRNA from 1 species